rnacentral:rRNA from 1 species
GAUGAACGCUGGCGGCGUGCCUAAUACAUGCAAGUCGAACGCGAGAGGAGGGAGCUUGCUCCCUCUGAUCGAGUGGCGGACGGGUGAGUAACACGUAGGCAACCUGCCCAUCAGUCCGGGAUAACCGCGGGAAACCGUGGCUAAUACCGGAUGAUCCUCUCCACCGCGGGGUGGGGAGUUGAAAGACGGUUUCGGCUGUCGCUGAUGGAUGGGCCUGCGGCGCAUUAGCUGGUUGGCGGGGUAACGGCCCACCAAGGCAACGAAGCGUAGCCGGCCUGAGAGGGGGAUCGGCAACACGGGGACUGCGACACGGCCCAGACUACUACGGGAGGCAGCAGUAGGGAAUUUUCGGCAGUGGACGCAAGUCUGACGGAGCAACGCCGCGUGAGUGAAGAAGGGUUUCGGCUCGUAAAACUCUGUUGUUAGGGAAGAACAAAGUUGUUAGUAACUGAACAAGUCUUGACGGUACCUAACCAGAAAGCCACGGCUAACUACGUGCCAGCAGCCGCCGUAA